AAAACACCAACUGAAACUAACGCUGAAAAAAAAGACUUCUCCCAGGAGAGCGUAAUUCUGUUCUGCACAAUCCCUCCAAGCCUGCCAUUCGGGACGGGUAACAGCCGGGCUCUGCAACGUCUGCGAAAGACAGAGGCAAGUCGAGAACCCCAGCUCCUGCCACGGGCACCCUUUGCGAUUUAUUGCCUCCUAACAAGCAGGAGGAAUGGGAAAAUCAUUGCAGAAGCCAGACCUGCCCGUUCUGGUUUUGAUUUAUACAGCUUCAGAAGGUACCUGACACUUUUGAGAAAGCCUGUUUUCGCUUCAUUGCCAGGUCAAUUUAUAGCCUUGGUAGCUUUAAAUAACCACUUCAAUUUGGGGAGUAUUGUUACGAACUCAUAUUUUAAAUAUUUUCUACAGCUAAAAAUACAAAUAUCCCAAUAGCACACCUAUUAGUAACAGCAAUAAAUUCCUGCACUACUAUCUACUACAACAAGGCUAUUGAAACUGAAAUAUGACUGCACCUUGAAUCAUGAAGAAGAAUCAGUAGAAAAGACUGCUCGGUAUCUAAUUCUCGUGUAUUUCUAUGGGACACAGGCAGCUGAAAGGAAUAGCUGAGCCUGACUCACUUUGGACUGGAGUUUAGCUAAAUGAUAGAGCUUGGUUAACUUCAUUAAAGUCUCAUGUCUCACACAGGCUGAAGCUGUUUGCUACGCUAAUGACAGCUUGAUAGGACAUGCUGCGUUUCAGGACGCACAGACUGCUAUAAUUCUAAAGCCUGAGAAUUAUGACAGAAAAAAAAAAAGGUUCUGGGAGACCUAUCCCUGCCCUAGCUCUCCAUGUGUUCUGUAAUGGUGAUAUUCUUCCCUUCAAAACGGGAAAAUAUAAUGUAUUUACUAAAGGGUUAGAAAAAAAGUUUGAAGCAGAGCUGAUCCAGUUCCACACCUACUGCUUUUAGCCACACCUCACAAUUAUAAUAUGAAAAGAGAAGAAAAAAAAAAAAAGAAAAAAAAAAAGAAAACAAGCAAAAGGAAAACAAUCCGGUAUGUGGCUGUGAUUCCAAAUAAUAACAACAGUGUGUGCAUGCUCAUAAAUGCUUCAGAAUUGACCAAGAGGAAGCACGUUUCAUGAUGACACAAUCUUGUUGCUGUAGUCAUUCAUCGAAGGGAACUCCCACAGGAAAAGGCAUAAAGCUGCUUAGGGAAGGCUAAGAAGCUGCUCAGUGCUAGUCAGUCAAACAUUGGGUUA
rnacentral:lncRNA from 1 species